rnacentral:rRNA from 1 species
UGGGGAAUAUUGCACAAUGGGCGCAAGCCUGAUGCAGCCAUGCCGCGUGUAUGAAGAAGGCCUUCGGGUUGUAAAGUACCUUCAGCGGGGAGGAAGGGAGUAAAGUUAAUACCUUUGCUCAUUGACGUUACCCGCAGAAGAAGCACCGGCUAACUCCGUGCCAGCAGCCGCGGUAAUACGGAGGGUGCAAGCGUUAAUCGGAAUUACUGGGCGUAAAGCGCACGCAGGCGGUUUGUUAAGUCAGAUGUGAAAUCCCCGGGCUCAACCUGGGAUCUGCAUCUGAUACUGGCAAGCUUGAGUCUCGUAGAGGGGGGUAGAAUUCCAGGUGUAGCGGUGAAAUGCGUAGAGAUCUGGAGGAAUACCGGUGGCGAAGGCGGCCCCCUGGACGAAGACUGACGCUCAGGUGCGAAAGCGUGGGGAGCAAACAGG